UACAGAGACUGCAAGCGUUAUUCGGAUUCACUGGGCGUAAAGGGUGCGCAGGCGGCCAAGUGUGUGAGGCGUGAAAGCCCGGGGCUUAACCCCGGAAUUGCACCUCAAACUACAUGGCUAGAGCAUUGGAGAGGGUAGCGGAAUUCACGGUGUAGCAGUGAAAUGCGUAGAUAUCUGGAGGAACACCGGUGGCGAAGGCGGCAUCCUGGACCGGUAUUGACGCUGAUGCGCGAAAGCCAGGGGAGCAAACGGG
rnacentral:rRNA from 1 species